UACGAAGGGGGCUAGCGUUGCUCGGAAUCACUGGGCGUAAAGCGCACGUAGGCGGAUGUGUCAGUCAGGGGUGAAAUCCCGGAGCUCAACUUCGGAACUGCCCUUGAUACAGCACGUCUCGAGUCCGAGAGAGGUGAGUGGAAUUCCUAGUGUAGAGGUGAAAUUCGUAGAUAUUAGGAAGAACACCAGUGGCGAAGGCGGCUCACUGGCUCGGUACUGACGCUGAGGUGCGAAAGCGUGGGGAGCAAACAGG
rnacentral:rRNA from 1 species